rnacentral:sRNA from 2 species
GGACAGUCAUCGCCGAGUCCCCGAAGGCGCGAGCCUGGGGAGCCGGGGACCCAUCGCAGUCCCUGGGGUGAAUCGGACGCCCGCGCGUAGGCGAGGGGGUCCGUAGGAGACCUUCCUGCUCCGAACCCGUCAGCUAACCCGGUAGGCGAGAAGGAAGGAAAG